rnacentral:rRNA from 1 species
CUUGCUCCCUGAGAUUAGCGGCGGACGGGUGAGUAACACGUGGGCAACCUGCCUAUAAGACUGGGAUAACUUCGGGAAACCGGAGCUAAUACCGGAUACGUUCUUUUCUCGCAUGAGAGAAGAUGGAAAGACGGUUUACGCUGUCACUUAUAGAUGGGCCCGCGGCGCAUUAGCUAGUUGGUGAGGUAAUGGCUCACCAAGGCGACGAUGCGUAGCCGACCUGAGAGGGUGAUCGGCCACACUGGGACUGAGACACGGCCCAGACUCCUACGGGAGGCAGCAGUAGGGAAUCUUCCGCAAUGGACGAAAGUCUGACGGAGCAACGCCGCGUGAACGAAGAAGGCCUUCGGGUCGUAAAGUUCUGUUGUUAGGGAAGAACAAGUACCAGAGUAACUGCUGGUACCUUGACGGUACCUAACCAGAAAGCCACGGCUAACUACGUGCCAGCAGCCGCGGUAAUACGUAGGUGGCAAGCGUUGUCCGGAAUUAUUGGGCGUAAAGCGCGCGCAGGUGGUUCCUUAAGUCUGAUGUGAAAGCCCACGGCUCAACCGUGGAGGGUCAUUGGAAACUGGGGAACUUGAGUGCAGAAGAGGAAAGUGGAAUUCCAAGUGUAGCGGUGA